UACGUAGGGACCGAGCGUUGUCCGGAAUCAUUGGGCGUAAAGAGCGUGUAGGCGGCUUGUUAAGUCUUGCGUGAAAUCUCGGGGCUCAACCCCGAGCGGUCGUGAGAAACUGGCAGGCUAGAGUGCGGGAGAGGAGAGUGGAAUUCCUGGUGUAGCGGUGAAAUGCGCAGAUAUCAGGAGGAACACCAGUGGCGAAGGCGGCGCUCUGGGCUGGCACUGACGCUGAGGAGCGAAAGCGUGGGAGCGAACAGG
rnacentral:rRNA from 1 species